UACGUAGGUGGCAAGCGUUGUCCGGAAUCAUUGGGCGUAAAGCGCGCGUAGGCGGUUUGUCAGGUCUGAUGUGAAAUCUUGGAGCUCAACUCCAAGCGUGCAUCGGAAACCGGCUUACUAGAGUCUGGAAGAGGAGAGUGGAAUUCCUGGUGUAGCGGUGAAAUGCGUAGAUAUCAGGAGGAACACCGGUGGCGAAGGCGGCUGCCUGGACCGAUAUUGACGCUGAGACGCGAAAGCAUGGGGAGCAAAAGGG
rnacentral:rRNA from 1 species